UGGCUCAGUGGUUAAGAGCACUGGCUGCUCUUCCAGUGGACCUGGGUUCAAUUCCUAG
rnacentral:tRNA from 1 species